GACAGAGAAGAAGCCAGACAGCGGGGAGGCUGGCUUCAUCCUUUCCAGGAUGCCUAGGAAGAACCAAUCAAUACCUGGGAGACGAUACAUCUCCUUUCCACGUUACACGGGGACUAAAAUUUCAUUCCAGAAACUUCUGGGGUGCAGACACCUUCCAAAGCACAGUCCACAGGACAACUCCUGUACCUUCUUAAGCCUAGGACACCGUUAGGAUAUGUUUGAACCUGACUUUGGAUAUACUAAAACAUGUGGCAAUAUGUUAAAUACAGGAAACUGUGCACCUGUUCAUGUAUGGUGACGCCACGGAGGGCCAGACUGCUGCAGUGCCCAAGGUGUGCCAUCUCCACAGAGAACCCAUCUUCACUCCCUUUAGGCAAUUCCCUCCCACCAGAGGCAGGAAGCAAACUACAACACCACGCUGGAGCAGCAAACGUAACCAUGUGAGCUAUCACGCACCAGCUCCUUCCUUAUUUCUGAUCACCCUGGACUCAGUUAGCCCGGCUUCCCACAGUAAGACUGUGUCUAGACUGUGGGGACAACAGGCUGGGAGCCAGGAAUGGACCUCAAGCCUACGAGAGCAUCCAAGCUGCUUUACUAAUACCUUUGAACCUUCCGAUGACUGGAACAGAGUUGAAAUUUAUCAGAAAAUAGAAAAACAGCUUUGGCACAGCACUACCAGUCAUCAUGUACGUCUCUGAAUAACAAAUGUUCAUCUCUAGGUCAUGCCUCCAGAUGUGUAAUUGAAGAUACUAACUGGAUGAAUGAACAACUUAAAGUUCCAGGGGAACAAAGCGCUGUUCUGGAUGAUUCCGCCAGCACCACUCCCUCUUCCAGUUCAGCUUCACAGCUAUCCAGGGGUGAAGAGUGGGCACACAGCGAACUUUGAGAAAUGCACAUAAUAUGAAUCUCAAGGAAAGAGAAAAGCCACGAAAUCUAUACUAAGCGGAAUCCCCAUGUUAAGAUUCACCAAUAAAAGCCUUUUAGAGUCUGUGG
ensembl:antisense Prkag2os1 protein kinase, AMP-activated, gamma 2 non-catalytic subunit, opposite strand 1